ACGAACGCUGGCGGCGUGCUUAACACAUGCAAGUCGAACGGAAAGGCCCUGCUUUUGUGGGGUGCUCGAGUGGCGAACGGGUGAGUAACACGUGAGUAACCUGCCCUUGACUUUGGGAUAACUUCAGGAAACUGGGGCUAAUACCGGAUAGGAGCUCCUGCUGCAUGGUGGGGGUUGGAAAGUUUCGGCGGUUGGGGAUGGACUCGCGGCUUAUCAGCUUGUUGGUGGGGUAGUGGCUUACCAAGGCUUUGACGGGUAGCCGGCCUGAGAGGGUGACCGGCCACAUUGGGACUGAGAGACGGAGCAGACUCCUACGGGAGGCAGCAGUGGGGAAUAUUACACAAUGGGCGGAAGCCUGAUGCAGCAGCGCCGCGUGCGGAAAGACGGCCUUCGGGUUGUAAACCGCUUUCGCCUGUGACGAAGCGUGAGUGACGGUAAUGGGUAAAGAAGCACCGGCUAACUACGUG
rnacentral:rRNA from 1 species